rnacentral:rRNA from 1 species
UACGAAGGGGGGCUAGCGUUGCUCGGAAUCACUGGGCGUAAAGCGUGCGUAGGCGGCUGCGCAAGUCGGGUGUGAAACCCCGGGGCUCAACCCCGGAACUGCAUCCGAUACUGCGUGGCUAGAGGUAGGUAGGGGAGAUCGGAAUUCCUGGUGUAGCGGUGAAAUGCGCAGAUAUCAGGAGGAACACCGGUGGCGAAGGCGGAUCUCUGGGCCUUACCUGACGCUGAGGCGCGAAAGCUAGGGGGAGCGAACAGG